rnacentral:lncRNA from 1 species
AUUUUGUUUAGGAGCUUGGUAUCACUAUGAUUAAGUGGUCUGUGCAUAUAAAGUGAGGUGGCUAUAAUCUAAUAAUAAUAAUAUUUUUUGGAGCAUCAAUUCCUGGGUCUCUUGGUGUGUCCAUUUGUACAUCCUCCUUUCUUCUUUUUGGUUUGGAUUAGGAUUUUGUAGGUACUGGUGGGUCCCCAGUGGACAGCACUGGUUCCUGGAAAUCUGCAGUCACACCCAGUUAUUGUGAGUAGUUUUAAACAGGAGAUACAGUGACAUCGGUAAAGGUCCCUGGAACACACAGCAGAUACAGUCUCAUCGGUAAAGGUUCCUGGAACACACAGGAGAUACAGUCUCAUCUGUAAAGGUUCCUGGAACACACAAGAAAUACAGUUACAUCGGUAAAGGUCACUGGAACACACAGGAGAUACUGUCACAUCGGUAAAGGUCCCUGGAACACACAGCAGAUACAGUCUCAUCUGUAAAGGUUCCUGGAACACACAGGAGAUACAGUCUCAUCUGUAAAGGUUCCUGGAA